GACGGAGGAGGCAAGCGUUGUCCGGAAUCAUUGGGCGUAAAGAGCGCGUAGGCGGUUUUUCAAGUCAUGUGUGAAAACUUCAGGCUCAACUUGAAGAUUGCAUAUGAAACUGGAAAACUAGAGUACGGCAGAGGAAAGUGGAAUUCCUGGUGUAGCGGUGAAAUGCGCAGAUAUCAGGAAGAACACCAGUGGCGAAGGCGGCUUUCUAGGCCGUUACUGACGCUGAGGCGCGAAAGCUAGGGGAGCGAACAGGAUUAGAUACCCCCGUAGUC
rnacentral:rRNA from 1 species